AGAAAACACACAACGUAAAAAUUAUCGAAUAACAAAUACGUUUUGGAAAAUUUAGAAUAAAACAUGAAAGUACGAAAGUCAAACCAGGAAAAGCCAAAAAAAAACAAAAUAAGAAAAACAAUACAUAGAUCAUUUAAAGCUAAAAAUAGGCUAGCUAAUAAAGUGCCUCGAGCACGCACUUUAAUGCUUAUGGUGGAGAAUGAGAUAAUGUAUAAUAAAAAUAUUAAUGAACAAUUACCUGCACGGGUUAUUGACGAUUCAGAUCCGCCGAAAAGCAAUACACCAGAAUCCGAAACGUAAUGAAUGGGUCGAUUUCCCUAACCACCCAGCCAAUAUUGCCAUAAAAAGAAUUCAUUAGACAUUAGUUGAUCCUUGUUUCCAAAAUUCAAAAAUUGCUGCAUUGCGUUUAAUGCUCUCAUUGCAAAGGACAAUGGAGCAGCGGCAGGAUCUAAAGGACACUAAAGAAAAAAGAACAGCGAACGCUCAAUUUGGAAUCGAACCAAUUAGUUGUCCUUUGUGCUGGCACCUUUGUCGUCUGGAUUUCGCAAAUAUCGUUUUUUUUUUCCCAUGGACCAUGGCCCAUUUGCCACUGUUUUUUCGUUGGCCAUUGCGUGUCCUGUUUCGGAGUAGAGGAUCCUUUUCGUUGGUUUUCUCUACACACUUUUGGAACCGUGGAUAGAGCGCAGCGGGGCGUGCGGUGCAAAGAUCAGAGGAGCGGCCCGCCGCGGGGCGCUCUCAACCGAUGAUCAUUUCGACACCCCAUUUAUGCGGCGUCCUUCGGUUCCAUUUGGCCAGCUACUGUAACCAUACACUGCUAAAAAAAAUUGAUGCAUAUAUGUAUAUGUACGUUUUGCAAAUUUAUUGUUAAUAUAUUAUUAUCAAUCUGAA
ensembl:ncRNA lncRNA:CR42657 long non-coding RNA:CR42657